AUGAAGAACGCAGCGAAAUGCGAUAAGUAAUGUGAAUUGCAGAAUUCCGUGAAUCAUCGAAUCUUUGAACGCACAUUGCGCCCCCUGGUAUUCCGGGGGGCAUGCCUGUCCGAGCGUCAUUGCAACCUUCAAGCGCGGCUUGUGUGUUGGGUCUCGUCCCCCGUGGACGGGCCCGAAAGGCAGUGGCGGCGUCCCGACAUGGUGCCCGAGCGUAUGGGAAUCCUCUUCCGCUCGAAUCGGCCCAUGCGGCGCUGGUCGUAACCAAAUUUUUUACCGGUUGACCUCGGAUCAGGUAGGGAUACCCGCUGAACUUAAGCAUAUCAAUAAGCGGAGGA
rnacentral:misc_RNA from 1 species